UACGAAGGGGGCUAGCGUUGCUCGGAAUGACUGGGCGUAAAGGGCGCGUAGGCGGUUCAUACAGUCAGAUGUGAAAUUCCUGGGCUCAACCUGGGGGCUGCAUUUGAUACGUGUGGACUAGAGUGGGGAAGAGGGUCGUGGAAUUCCCAGUGUAGAGGUGAAAUUCGUAGAUAUUGGGAAGAACACCGGUGGCGAAGACGGCGACCUGGUCCUUGACUGACGCUGAGGCGCGAAAGCGUGGGGAGCAAACAGG
rnacentral:rRNA from 1 species